UCCCUGAUAAGAACUGACUAUUGUUUUUUUCUACUUAUUAGAAAUGUUGUCUUUAUAGCCCUCUAAAUUGCCACAUGGACCCAUAUCUCAAAAAUGCUGCAGUAAAAUGGUUUGAUAUGAUUUGUGCAUAUAGUAUGGAAUGUCCUUUAUAAGAUCUGACCAUUGUUUUUUUCUACUUAUUAGAAAUGGGAUCUUCACAGCCCGUUAAAGUGUAAUAAUUUCCCAUUUCUGGAAAAAGCUGCAGUAAAAUGGUUUGAUAUGAGAUGUGCUCAUAGUAUGGGACGUCACUGAUGAGAACUGACUAUUAUUUUUUUCUACUUAUUAGAAAUGGGGUCUUUAUAGCACUCUAAAUUGCCAUAUGGACCCAUAUCUCAAACAUGCUGCAGUAAAAUGCUUUGAUAUGAGGUGUGCAUAUAGUAUGGCAUGUGCUUUAUAAGAACUGACCAUUGUUUUUUUCUACUUAUUAGAAAUGGGAUCUUUAUAGCCCUUUAAAGUGUAAUAAUGUCCCAUAUCUUGAAAAUGCUGCAGUAAAAUGGUUUGAUAUGAGGUGUGCAUAUAGUAUGGGACAUCCCUGAUAAGAACUGACUGUUGCUUUUUUCUACUUAUUAGAAAUGGGAUCUUUACAGCCAUUUAAAGUGUAAUAAUGUCCCAUAUCUCGAAAAUGCUGCAGUAAAAUGGUUUGAUAUGAGGUGUGCAUAUAGUAUGGGAUGUCCCUGAUAAGAACUGACUUUUGUUUUUUUCUACUUAUUAGAAAUGGGAUCUUUAUAGCCCUUUAAAGUGUAAUAAUGUCCCAUAUCUUGAAAAUGCUGCAGUAAAAUGGUUUGAUAUGAGGUGUGCAUAUAGUAUGGGAUGUCCCUGAUAAGAACUGACUUUUGUUUUUUUCUACUUAUUAGAAAUGGGAUCUUUAUGACCCUUUAAAUUGUAAUAAUGUCCCAUAUCUUGAAAAUGCUGCAGUAAAAUGGUUUGAUAUGAGGUGUGCAUAUAGUAUGGGACAUCCCUGAUAAGAACUGACUGUUGCUUUUUUCUACUUAUUAGAAAUGGGAUCUUUACAGCCAUUUAAAAUGUAAUAAUGUCCCAUAUCUCGAAAAUGCUGCAGUAAAAUGGUUUGAUAUGAGGUGUGCAUAUAGUAUGGGACAUCCCUGAUAAGAACUGACCAUUGUUUUUUUCUACUUAUUAGAAAUGGGAUCUUUACAGCCAUUUAAAGUGUAAUAAUGUCCCGUAUCUUGAAAAUGCUGCAGUAAAAUGGUUUGAUAUGAGGUGUGCAUAUAGUAUGGGACGUCCCUGAUAAGAACUGACUAUUGUUUUUUUCUACUUAUUAGAAAUGGUGUCUUUAUAGCCCUCUAAAUCAUUGUAUUGUCCCAUAUCUGAAAAAUGCUGCAGAAAAAUGGUUUGAAAUGAGGUGUGCAUAUAGUAUGGGACAUCCCAGAUAAGAACUGACUGUUGUUUUUUUCUACUUAUUAGAAAUGGGAUCUUUACAGCCAUUUAAAGUGUAAUAAUGUCCCAUAUCUCGAAAAUGCUGCAGUAAAAUGGUUUGAUAUGAGGUGUGCAUAUAUUAUGGGAUGUCCUUUAUAAGAACUGACCAUUGUUUUUUUCUACUUAUUAGAAAUGGGGUCUUUGUAGCACUAUAAAUCACCAUUUGGACCCAUAUCUCAAAAAUGCUGCAGUAAAAGGGUUUGAUAUGAGGUGUGCAUAUAGUAUGGGACAUCCCUUAUAGGAACAUACCAUUGUUUUUAUCUACUUAUUAGAAAUGGGAUCUUUAUAGCCCUUUAAAAUAUAAUAAUGUCCCAUAUCUCGAAAAUUCUGCAGUAAAAUGGUUUGAUAUGAGGUGUGCAUAUAGUAUGGCAUGUCCUUUAUAAGAAAUGACCAUUGUUUUUUUCUACUUAUUAGAAAUGGGAUCUUUACAGCCCUUUAAAAUGUAAUAAUGUCUCGAAUCUUAAAAAUGCUGCAGUAAAAUGGUUUGA